GACAGAGGAUGCAAGCGUUAUCCGGAAUGAUUGGGCGUAAAGCGUCUGUAGGUGGCUUUUCAAGUCCGUUGUCAAAUCCCAGGGCUCAACCCUGGACAGGCGGUGGAAACUGCCAAGCUGGAGUACGGUAGGGGCAGAGGGAAUUUCCGGUGGAGCGGUGAAAUGCGUAGAGAUCGGAAAGAACACCAACGGCGAAAGCACUCUGCUGGGCCGACACUGACACUGAGAGACGAAAGCUAGGGGAGCGAAUGGG
rnacentral:rRNA from 1 species